rnacentral:rRNA from 1 species
AGCGAACGUUAGCGGCGGGCCUAACACAUGCAAGUCGAACGCGAAAGGUCUUCGGACUGAUUGAGUGGCGCACGGGUGAGUAACACGUAGGUAAUCUACCCUUUGGCGGGGGAUAACGUUCCGAAAAGGACGCUAAUACCGCAUAAGACCACGACGUCUUUGGACGAUGUGGGAAAAGGUGGCCUCUUCUUGAAAGCUACCACCGGAGGAUGAGCCUGCGUCCCAUCAGCUAGUUGGUAAGGUAAUGGCUUACCAAGGCGAAGACGGGUAGCUGGUUUGAGAGAAUGAUCAGCCACACUGGCACUGGAACACGGGCCAGACUCCUACGGGAGGCAGCAGUGAGGAAUAUUGGGCAAUGGGCGAAAGCCUGACCCAGCCACGCCGCGUGAGUGAUGAAGGCCUUCGGGUCGUAAAGCUCUGUGGAGAGGGACGAAACCCUAGGUUUCAAAUAGGCUCCAGGCUUGACGGUACCUCUUUAGCAAGCACCGGCUAACUCUGUGCCAGCAGCC